CUACGGAGGGUGCAAGCGUUAUUCGGAAUCACUGGGCGUAAAGGACGCGUAGGCGGGUUGGCAAGUCAGAUGUGAAAUCCUACAGCUUAACUGUAGAACUGCAUUUGAAACUGCUAACCUAGAGUAUGGGAGGGGGAGAUGGAAUUAGUGGUGUAGGGGUAAAAUCCGUAGAUAUCACUAGGAAUACCGAAAGGGAAGGCGAUCUCCUGGAACAUAACUGACGCUAAGGCGUGAAAGCGUGGGGAGCAAACAGGAUUAGAUACCCUAGUAGUCC
rnacentral:rRNA from 1 species